CAAGUCGUGGGGCAGCAUGGUGUAGCAAUACACUGAUGGCCACCGGCAAACGGGUGCGGAACACGUACGCAACCUUCCUUUAAGUGGAGAAUAGCCCGGCGAAAGCCGGAUUAAUACUCCGUAACAUUAUGAAGUGGCAUCACUUUAUAAUUAUAGCUCCGGCGCUUAAAGAUGGGCGUGCGUCUGAUUAGGUAGUCGGCGGGGUAACGGCCCACCAAGCCUACGAUCAGUAACUGGUGUGAGAGCACGACCAGUCACACGGGCACUGAGACACGGGCCCGACUCCUACGGGAGGCAGCAGUAAGGAAUAUUGGUCAAUGGACGCAAGUCUGAACCAGCCAUGCCGCGUGAAGGAUGAAGGUCCUCUGGAUUGUAAACUUCUUUUAUUUGGGAAGAAACCCAAGAUUUCUAUUUUGGUUGACGGUACCAGAUGAAUAAGCACCGGCUAACUCCGUGCCAGCAGCCGCGGUAAUACGGAGGGUGCAAGCGUUAUCCGGAUUCACUGGGUUUAAAGGGUGCGUAGGCGGGCAGGUAAGUCCGUGGUGAAAUCUCCAAGCUUAACUUGGAAACUGCCGUGGAUACUAUUUGUCUUGAAUAUAGUGGAGGUGAGCGGAAUAUGUCAUGUAGCGGUGAAAUGCUUAGAUAUGACAUAGAACACCCAUUGCGAAGGCAGCUCGCUACACUAUUAUUGACGCUGAGGCACGAAAAGCGUGGGGAUCAAACAGGGAUUAGAUACCCUGGUAGUCCACGCCCUAACGAUGAUUACUCGACAUCAGCGAUACACUGUUGGUGUCUGAGCGAAAGCAUUAAGUUAAUCCAC
rnacentral:rRNA from 1 species